rnacentral:tRNA from 1 species
GGACCCGUAGCUCAGUGGUAGAGCGUGUGAUUCCAGAAUUCACACGAUCACGUGAAGGCAUCCACAAGGUCAUCCGUUCAAUCCGGGUCGGGUUCA